CCUACGGGCGGCAGCAGUGAGGAAUAUUGGUCAAUGGACGAGAGGCUGAACCAGCCAAGUAGCGUGAAGGAUGACUGCCCUAUGGGUUGUAAACUUCUUUUAUAAAGGGAUAAAACGAGGCACGUGUGCCUUUUUGCAUGUACUUUAUGAAUAAGGAUCGGCUAACUCCGUGCCAGCAGCCGCGGUAAUACGGAGGAUCCGGGCGUUAUCCGGAUUUAUUGGGUUUAAAGGGAGCGUAGAUGGGUUGUUAAGUCAGUUGUGAAAGUUUGCGGCUCAACCGUAAAAUUGCAAUGGAGACUGGCAGUCUUGAGUACAGUGGAGGUAAGCGGAAUUCGUGGUGUAGCGGUGAAAUGCUUAGAUAUCACGAAGAACCCCGAUUGCGAAGGCAGCUUACUAAACUGUGACUGACAUUGAUGCUCGAAAGUGUGGGUAUCAAACAGGAUUAGAUACCCCUGUAGUC
rnacentral:rRNA from 1 species